ACGAACGCUGGCGGCGUGCUUAACACCUGCAAGUCGAACGGUGAAGCGCCUUCCUUUUUGGUGGGUGUGGAUGAGUGGCGAACGGGUGAGUAACACGUGAGUAACCUGCCCCCUUCUUCUGGAUAACCGCAUGAAAGUGUGGCUAAUACGGGAUAUUCUGGGUCUGUCGCAUGAUGGGUCUGGGAAAGAUAUUGUUUCGGUGGGGGAUGGGCUCGCGGCCUAUCAGCUUGUUGGUGGGGUGAUGGCCUACCAAGGCGGUGACGGGUAGCCGGCCUGAGAGGGUGGACGGUCACACUGGGACUGAGACACGGACCAGACUCCUACGGGAGGCAGCAGGGGAGAAUAUUGCACAAUGGGCGCAAGCCUGAUGCAGCGACGCCGCGUGAGUGAUGGAGGCCUUCGGGUUGUGAACCUCUUUCGCCAGUGAAGCAGGCCUGCCUCGUUUGUGGGUGGGUUGACGGUAGCUAGAUAAGAAGCGCCGGCUAACUACGUG
rnacentral:rRNA from 1 species